AACGAACGCUGGCGGCAGGCCUAACACAUGCAAGUCGAACGCUCGUAGCAAUACGAGAGUGGCAGACGGGUGAGUAACGCGUGGGAACCUUCCCUAUGGUUCGGAAUAGCUCAGGGAAACCUGGGGUAAUACCGGAUAAGCCCUUCGGGGGAAAGAUUUAUCGCCAUUGGAUGGGCCCGCGUAGGAUUAGCUAGUUGGUGAGGUAACGGCUCACCAAGGCGACGAUCCUUAGCUGGUCUGAGAGGAUGAUCAGCCACACUGGGACUGAGACACGGCCCAGACUCCUACGGGAGGCAGCAGUGGGGAAUAUUGGACAAUGGGCGAAAGCCUGAUCCAGCCAUGCCGCGUGAGUGACGAAGGCCUUAGGGUUGUAAAGCUCUUUUGGCGGGGAAGAUAAUGACGGUACCCGCAGAAUAAGCUCCGGCUAACUUCGUG
rnacentral:rRNA from 1 species